rnacentral:rRNA from 1 species
UUUUUCCUACGGGAGGCAGCAGUGGGGAAUUUUCGUCAAUGGGCGCAAGCCUGAACGAGCAAUGCCGCGUGAACGAGGAAGGUCUUCGGAUCGUAAAGUUCUGUUGAAGGGGAAAAAGAGCGGAGAGAGGAAAUGGUCUCCGAUUGAUAUUACCCUUCGAGGAAGUCACGGCUAACUACGUGCCAUCAGCCGCGGUAAUACGUAGGUGGCGAGCGUUAUCCGGAAUGAUUGGGCGUAAAGCGAGUGCAGGCGGCUCAAUAAGUCUGAUGUG